ACAACUUUUGACAAUUUGACCU
rnacentral:rRNA from 1 species